rnacentral:rRNA from 1 species
AAUAAGCUAUUUAAGAGCGUAAGGUGGAUGCCUUGGCUCUCAGAGGCGAUGAAGGACGUGAUAAGCUGCGAUAAGCUGCGGGGAUUGGCACACACAAUUUGAUCCGUAGAUUUCCGAAUGGGGCAACCCACUAUAUUGAAGAUAUAGUAUCCGUUAAGGAAGCAAACCCAGGGAACUGAAACAUCUAAGUACCUGGAGGAAUAGAAAACAAAAGUGAUUCCGCUAGUAGUGGCGAGCGAACGCGGAACAGCCCAAACCAAAAUUGUUUCGGCAAUUUUGGGG